GGAGAAGUCGCCUAGUUGGUCGAGGGCGCACGACUGGAAAUCGUGUAACCGUUAAAAGCGGUUCGAGAGUUCGAAUCUCUCCUUCUCCGCCA
rnacentral:tRNA from 1 species